rnacentral:rRNA from 1 species
AAGAACGCUAGCGGUGUGCUAAUACAUGCAAGUCGAACGGUUCUUUCUUCGAUGAAGCUUCGGCAGAUUCGUUGAAAGAAUAGUGGCGAACGGGUGAGUAAUGCAUGAGUAAUCUGCCCUAAAGACCCGGGAUAAGCUUUCGAAAGGAAGUCUAAUACCGGAUAAUAAAAUCAGAUCGCAUGAUUUGAUUUUCAAAGGUAGCUUUUUAAGCCUCUGCUUUUGGAUGAGCUCAUGUCCUAUCAGCUAGUCGGUGAGGUAAAGGCUCACCAAAGCUAAGACGGGUAGCCGGUCUGAGAGGACGGUCGGCCACGCUGGGACUGAGACACGGCCCAGACUCCUACGGGAGGCAGCAGUAGGGAAUCUUGCGCAAUGGGCGAAAGCCUGACGCAGCGACACCGCGUGGAGGAUGAAGGUUUUCGAAUCGUAAACUCCUGUCAAUAGAGGAAGAAGGUAUUAUAGGUGAAUAGCUUAUAAUAUUGACGGUACUUUGUAAGGAAGCCCCGGCUAACUACGUGCCAGCAGCCGCGGUAAUACGUAGGGGGCAAGCGUUUUCCGGAUUUAUUGGGCGUAAAGCGCACGCAGGUGGCUUUUUAAGUCGGAUGUGAAAUCUCUUAGCAAAACUAAGAAAUUGCAUCCGAAACUGGAUUGCUUGAGGUCGGGAGAGGAGAGUGGAAUUCUCGGUGUAGCGGUGAAAUGCGCAGAUAUCGAGAAGAACACCAUUAGCGAAGGCGGCUCUCUGGAACGAUACUGACACUAUAGGUGCGAAAGCUAGGGUAGCACAACAGGAGUUAGAUACCCUGGUAGUCCUAGCUGUAAACGAUGGGCACUAGAUGUAGGGAGAUAUCGACUCUUCCUGUGUCGUAGCUAACGCGUUAAUUCCCCGCCUGGGGAGUACGACCGCAAGGUAAAACUCAAAUGAAUUCGAACG